ensembl:misc_RNA 7SK 7SK RNA
GGAUAUGAGUGCAAUCUGACGGCAACAUUUGUCAUCCCGUUGAUCGCCAGGGUUGAUUUGGGCGAUCUGGCUGGCUAGGCGGGUGUCCCCUUCCUCCUUUACUGCUCCAUGUGUGUCCCUGCUGAGGCUGCACACUUGGUUGGAGAGGACGACCUUCCCUGAUAGAGGAGGAUCGUUCUUUGGUCAAGGGUAUACCAGGAGCUGGAUUCACCUGCUGGAACCUCUGAACAAGCACUCUGGUUCACUCCUCGUUUCCUCCUGAGAAUCUUGGAAACAUUCAUUACAGUCUUAGAAUUCCUGGAAGCCUGUUGUGUCUGCAUCCUG